rnacentral:rRNA from 1 species
AUGUGUGUCCCCGACCUCAGUAUUCUUAGGAGUGCUGUGCUAGGAGACAAAUCUUAUAAUUUGGGAGCCAUUGUUGCACGUAGGUUGCAUCAUAAUAGAUUUAAUGGAGAUUUCUUUGGCGGAAUUUAUGCAACCCGCUUAGCUGAUUUUCUUGGUGUAACCAUACGUAAUGAUGAUAUUGAAUUGCCUCCUACUUAUUUAGACUUUAAUGCUAUGGUUCACCAUCAGUUUGUUGAGAGGAAUGAACCGCCUCUCCAGUAUCGCUUAAUCUUUGACAGACGUCGUGCUGUCCGUAUUACUCUCCCUGCUCCUGCCUUCUUUGAUUAUCAGGCAAAAGGAAGACAUUUUAUUACUAGAGAGGAGGUAGAUGAGUACGAGAGGAGGGCGGAGGCAGCUCGCCGCCACGCUGCAGCCCAGGAGGCAAUAGCCGCUGCAUCUCAGUACGACCCCGGUUAUAACUUUGGAUAUCCGCCAGGCCACCCGUGGCAAUAA